GUUGGUCUACAUGCCACCCUGAACACGUCCAGUCUCGUCUGAUCUCAGAAGCUAAGCAGGGUCGGGCCUGGUUAGUACUUGGAUGGGAAAAAUAAAAUGUUGGUGAGCAUUC
rnacentral:rRNA from 1 species